CUGUAUUUCGCACACACGCAGCCGUCGCCCCCGCUGUCGCGAAGCAGCCCCCCUCCGGACCCUUCUUCUCCGGCGGCGGGUUCGACGGCCGCGGUGCCUCCCCUCCGCGCACCGGGCGCGGAACCUGCAGUAGAACCCGCCCCCGCCAAGCAGAGGAGGCCCCGCUCCCCAACCUUCUUCUCCGGCGGCGGUGGCUUCCCUCCCCUCCAAGAAGCGACGGCGCCUCCCCUCCCCCACCCGGUGCUCCACCUUCGGUCGCUCCCCUCCCCUCCAAGAAGCGCCGGCGCUGCUACCCUCCAGAUCUGCGGUGAUGGACCCCCGGCCUGCCCAUGUUUUUUCAAGGGAAGACGUUGUGAUUCCACGAGUUUGUCUCACAUACCUGGGAAUCCACGAAGGUCAUCACAGCGACCUUGUUCUGGCCUGGUCGCCUGUCGAUUUUAACAACCGUUUCAUGUCGAUUGUGCGAGCCCUAGAGUAUCUGGUUGGAUCUGAACGUGUUGGGGAUUUCCGUGUUGCUGUAGACCCUGUGACAAAUGAUGGUUUUAUCCGCUGCAGUCAUGCUGAAGUUGCUGAGUACCUUCGGGGGCACUGUGUCCUUGUUGGGCAUGAGGAAGUUUACUUUUUCAUAAUUCGCAAUGUUCUGAUGCCGCCAUUCGAUGAAGAUGUAAACCAGCAUCUUGAGGUGCAUGCUGGACGGUGCAUGUAAACAGGCCUAAGGUCAACACUCCACACGGCAAGAUAUUUGCUAUACACACGCAUGCCACAGCCUCCCGAUUGGGUCUAAUCGUCAACGCAGGGUUGUCAGCAACAGCUCUCAACAAUCUCUUAUGCACAAGCCAAUUCAUGGGAUGCCUUGCGACCUCUGCAACUCUGUUGAUGCAUACAAAACUGCCGGAGGAGUUGACCAGAUGGAGCGAUGAUAGUGAAUUAGCAACGUCAUGUGUGAAAAACUUUCUUCAGAGUCCAAACAAACGACAGUGUGAAGGACGGGGAGUGGUUACUUCCGUGCGCUGCUGAGGUCAGUGGUUAGAAACUUGGAAUAGGAUCGUCGUUUACGGCACUGCUUCUUGUUGAUUUCUUAAACCACAGCAUGUUUGUCAUGUCAAUGCAGUAAGCAGAUUCGAAUGAUCUGAUCUCUCAUGGAACUACAUAUCUUGUGGGAAUGCAAAAUGCUUUGUGUACAA